rnacentral:rRNA from 1 species
AGCGGGACACCGGGGAGUCAGAGUAAAUCUCAAAGGGAAAACUAAAUGUAACGACAGGUUAGAGUCCACUGAGGAGAUUAGUUUUGAGUAAAACAGAAGACUGGCCGCAUGCUUCAAGACGCAGGAAAGGAAUGAUUAGCUGGAAAGCAUAGCUAAAGCGUCACUCAUUGCGAAGGGGGAAUACGCGGCA